AUUGAACGCUGGCGGCAGGCCUAACACAUGCAAGUCGAACGAGUGGCGGACGGGUGAGUAAUGUCUGGGAAACUGCCUGAUGGAGGGGGAUAACUACUGGAAACGGUAGCUAAUACCGCAUACCAUCAGAUGUGCCCAGAUGUGAUUAGCAAGUUGGUGGGGUAACGUCUCACCAAGGCGACGAGCACUAGCUGGUCUGAGAGGAUGACAAGCCACACUGGAAAUGAGACACGGUCCAGACGCCUACGGGAGGCAGCAGUGGGUAAUAUUGCACAAUGGGCGCAAGCCUGAUGCAGCCAUGCCGCGUGUAUGAAGAAGGCCUUCGGGUUGUAAAGUACUUUCAGCGAGGAGGCGUUACCCGCAGAAGAAGCACCGGCUAACUCCGUGCCAGCAGCCGCGGUAAUAC
rnacentral:rRNA from 1 species